AUGUCGGCCGCCGCCGGCAAGCCGUCCCGGUCCGCCUCCGCCAUCACUGCCUCCACCGCGAGCGGGUACCACCUCCUCAAGAUCGAUGGCUACUCCCGCACCAAGGGCGUCCCCUCCGGAGAGAGGAUAAAGUCCCGCCCUUUCACCCUUGGAGGACAUCGAUGGCACAUCGAUUACCAUCCCAACGGCCAGAAACCAGAGUACGCAGACUACAUAUCCCUUUUCCUUGUUCUUGAUGACAACGUCAGCACGGCGGUGAAGGCGCAACAGAAAUUCUGUUUUGCGGAUGAGGAAACGAACCAAGCUCCUUCGCUGGUAUCAACAACAGUAGACAGCUACACUUCUCAGCAGGGCUGGGGAAUCGCGACAUUCAUCAAGAGGGCAGACCUGGAGAAGUCAGAGCAUCUGAAGGACGAUUCCUUCACCAUCAGGUGCGACAUCGUUGUCAUCGGCGACUACCGUGCAGAGGAUUUACCCGAAGAGACUCCUCCAGCAUUUGUCUCUGUGGCCCCAUCUGACCUGCACCGGCAUCUCGGCGGUCUCUUCAAGACAGAGAAGGGUGCCGAUGUGGUUUUCGAGGUUGGUGGUAACACUUUUGCUGCACACCGGUGUGUGCUUGCUGCCCGAUUGCCAGUCUUCAGUGCGGAGCUCUUUGGCGGUAUGAAGGAGGGCGACACCGCAGGUGUGGUGCGCAUAGAUGAAAUGGAGGCAGAGGUGUUCAAGUCGUUGCUCUGUUUUGCGUAUACCGACUCCUUACCGGUGACAGAAAAGGAAGAUGAAGAUGUCAUGUGCCAGCAUCUGCUUGUCGCGGCCGACAGGUAUAACAUGGAGAGGCUGAAGAGUAUUUGCGAGGAAAGGCUAUGCAAAUACAUCAACAUAGGCACAGUAACGACCAUCCUGACGUUAGCGGAGCAGCACCAGUGUGACGGCUUAAAGAAGGCAUGCUUAAGUUUUCUUGGCUCCCCGGCAAAUCUUAGGGCUCUGUUGGACAGCGACGGCUUCGAUCAUCUGAGCAGGAGCUGCCCUUCAGUUAUUAAGAAUCUGAUUGCCAUGUCGUCCCUCGUUUAG
rnacentral:rRNA from 1 species